rnacentral:rRNA from 1 species
CCUACGGGAGGCAGCAGUGAGGAAUAUUGGUCAAUGGACGAGAGUCUGAACCAGCCAAGUAGCGUGAAGGAUGACGGCCCUAUGGGUUGUAAACUUCUUUUAUACAGGAAUAAAACGAGGCACGUGUGCCUUUUUGCAUGUACUUUAUGAAUAAGGAUCGGCUAAAUCCGUGCCAGCAGCCGCGGUAAUACGGAGGAUCCGAGCGUUAUCCGGAUUUAUUGGGUUUAAAGGGAGCGUAGGUGGGUUGUUAAGUCAGUUGUGAAAGGUUGCGGCUCAACCAUAAAAUUGCAAUGGAUACUGGCAGUCUUGAGUGCAGUUGAGGUAGGCGGAAUUCGUGGUGUAGCGGUGAAAUGCUUAGAUAUCACGAAGAACCCCGAUUGCGAAGGCAGCUUACUAAACUGUGACUGACAUUGAGGCUCGAAAGUGUGGGUAUCAAACAGGAUUAGAUACCCGUGUAGUC